UGUGGCUGAGCAGUAAAGUGCUUGGCUUCCAAACCGAGGGUCCCAGGUUCAAAUCCUGGCA
rfam:Biomphalaria glabrata isolate BB02 linkage group LG3i unlocalized genomic scaffold LG3i_random_Scaffold24, whole genome shotgun sequence.